rnacentral:rRNA from 1 species
AGUGAACGCUGGCGGUAGGCCUAACACAUGCAAGUCGAACGGCAGCACAGUAAGAGCUUGCUCUUACGGGUGGCGAGUGGCGGACGGGUGAGGAAUACAUCGGAAUCUACUUUUUCGUGGGGGAUAACGUAGGGAAACUUACGCUAAUACCGCAUACGACCUACGGGUGAAAGCAGGGGAUCUUCGGACCUUUCGCGAUUGAAUGAGCCGAUGUCGGAUUAGCUAGUUGGCGGGGUAAAGGCCCAUCAAGGCGACGAUCCGUAGCUGGUCUGAGAGGAUGAUCAGCCACACUGGAACUGAGACACGGUCCAGACUCCUACGGGAGGCAGCAGUGGGGAAUAUUGGACAAUGGGCGCAAGCCUGAUCCAGCCAUACCGGGUGGGUGAAGAAGGCCUUCGGGUUGUAAAGCCCUUUUGUUGGGAAAGAAAAGCAGCAGGUUAAUACCCCGCUGUUCUGACGGUACCCAAAGAAUAAGCACCGGCUAACUUCGUG